UCGAGAAUCUUCGGCAAUGGGCGCAAGCCUGACCGAGCGACGCCGCGUGGAGGACGAAGGCCUUCGGGUUGUAAACUCCUGUCGAGGGGGAGGAAGGCGGCGCGCAGAGCGUCGCUUGACCGAUCCCUGGAGGAAGCACGGGCUAAGUUCGUGCCAGCAGCCGCGGUAAGACGAACCGUGCGAACGUUAUUCGGAAUCACUGGGCUUAAAGCGCGUGUAGGCGGCCCGGCGCGUCUGUCGCUGAAAUCCCCCGGCUCAACCGGGGAAGGGGCGGGGAUACGGCCGGGCUGGAGGGGGGUAGGGGGAUCGGGAACUUCCGGUGGAGCGGUGAAAUGCGUUGAGAUCGGAAGGAACGCCCGCGGCGAAAGCGCGGUCCUGGACCCCACCUGACGCUGAGACGCGAAAGCCAGGGGAGCGAACGGGAUUAGAUACCCGGGUAGUCC
rnacentral:rRNA from 1 species